rnacentral:rRNA from 1 species
GGAAUAUUGGGCAAUGGGCGCAAGCCUGACCCAGCGACGCCGCGUGAGGGAUGAAGGCCUUCGGGUUGUAAACCUCUUUCAGUAGGGAAGAAGCGAAAGUGAAGGUACCUGCAGAAGAAGCACCGGCUAACUAUGUGCCAGCAGCCGCGGUAAUACAUAGGGUGCAAGCGUUGUCCGGAAUUAUUGGGCGUAAAGAGCUCGUAGGUGGUUGAUCACGUCGGAUGUGAAAAUCUGGGGCUUAACCCCAGACCUGCAUUCGAUACGGGUUAACUAGAGUGUGGUAGGGGAAACUGGAAUUCCUGGUGUAGCGGUGGAAUGCGCAGAUAUCAGGAGGAACACCGAUGGCGAAGGCAGGUUUCUGGGCCAUAACUGACACUGAGGAGCGAAAGCAUGGGGAGCGAACAGGAUUAGAUACCCUGGUAGUCCAUGCCGUAAACGGUGGGCGCUAGUUGUGCGAACCUUCCACGGUUUGUGCGACGCAGCUAACGCAUUAAGCGCCCCGCCUGGGGAGUACGAUCGCAAGAUUAAAACUCAAAUGAAUUGACGG